rnacentral:misc_RNA from 1 species
CCAAUAGCGUAUAUUAAAGUUGUUGCAGUUAAAAAGCUCGUAGUUGAAUUUCGGGAUUAGUACGUUGGUCGUGCCUUGGUACGUACUGGUGUAACUGAUUCCUCCCUUCUGACGAACCGUUAUGCCAUUAAUUUGGUGUGGCGGGAAAUCAGGACUGUUACUUUGAAAAAAUUAGAGUGUUUAAAGCAGGCUCGCUCUUGAAUACAUUAGCAUGGAAUAAUGAAAUAGGACGUUAAUCCUAUUUUGUUGGUUUCUAGGAUCGACGUAAUGAUUAAUAGGGAUAGUUGGGGGCAUUAGUAUUCAAUUGUCAGAGGUGAAAUUCUUGGAUUUAUUGAAGACUAACUACUGCGAAAGCAUUUGCCAAGGAUGUUUUCAUUAAUCAAGAACGAAAGUUAGGGGAUCGAAGACGAUCAGAUACCGUCGUAGUCUUAACCAUAAACUAUGCCGACUAGGGAUCGGAUGAUGUUAAUUUUUUAAUGACUCAUUCGGCGCCUUACG